CCUACAAAGAUAUCAAAUAAUAAAUAUAUACUAUAAAAUUUAAGUUAUCAAAUUUAUUCUUCCAAAGUCCUCUCAUCUAUAAAUAUAUUCGUUUAUUACCAAAAUUUAGAUAAUUAUGAGUUAAAAAAGCUAACCAUAGUUAGUUAAAAAAUAAAAUGACCUUUUAUAUCUUAUACAUAUAUAGAGUUCGGCUACUAUACUCUUAUCAAUACGAUUGUCCUCGUACUCAUAAGUUAUUUUCGAUCAUAGAGCUUCCGAAUAUCCAUACCGUUAAAUAUUAUCUAGAGUAUUUAAAACUUCUAUAAAUUAAAUUUCAUAAUUUUUCGAUAUCAUUUACCUUACGAUCAAAAGGUCACAAAAUUGGCAAUUUUAACGGACGAUAUGAGAUACUUGCUAGUUUAACGGUGUAAAAAAAUUGGAAUAGGUUAAAUUUUUGAUAGAAAAUUUUAUUCACUACCUAGAUAAAGAUCAAUAACUCCGAUCUUAAAUUGAAAGAUCCGAUCAUCUAUUUUUAGGACGUCGUUUGAUUUUAACCGUUCAUUUAAUUCACACUUGAUGGACUUAAUUAUAAUUUCGAAAAAUUAUGAAAUUUAUUUUCUAAAAGUUUUAAAUAAUUUAGAUCAUACUUAAUGGAGUGGAUCGUCGAUUCGAAAGCUCCAUUAUCAAAAAUAACUUAUUAGUACGAAUGAUUCUAUAUUUAAAAUUUUACUUAUUAGUACGAAUAAUUCUAUAUUUAAAAUUUUAAAUGCUCUAGAUAAUGUUUUAUGGUAUGGAUCGUCGAAUCGGAAGCUCUAUAAUCCAAAUCGAAAACGACUUAUGAGUAUGAGGGCGAUCGUACUCAUAAGAGUAUAGUAGUCGGACUAUCUCUCUCUCUCUCUCUCUCUCUCUCUCUCUCUCUCUCUCUCUCUCUCUAUAUAUAUAUAUAUAUAUAUAUAUAUACUAGUUGAGUGUACGUGCAAAUGGACGUAACAAUUAUUUUAAUUUAUUUGAAAUCACAACCGUUCGUAAGAUUGAAUUUAUAGAUGAAUAGUUCAAAUUUGAUAUCAAAAAUUAAAUUUAGUUCACAAUUUAAAUUUAAAAUUUUAAUUUUAAUUUAUAAUAAAUUUAAUUCCCUAUUUAAAUUAAAAUUAUCUAAAAUUAAUUUAGAAUAGAUGGAUAGGAAUUUUAUUUUUUAACAGAUUGAUCAUAACCGUUAAUUUUUAAUUGAUAUAACCUUUCGUAGGAUUAGAUUUAUAGAUGAAUUUUUUUUAUAAAUAAUCCUAUCGAUUUUUAUAAUUAUAAAAAUAAUUUUUUUAAAAAAAUAAUUAUAAAAAUGGACCUCUAAAUACGGUGAAUGAUUCACUGCAUUCAUAACUCCUCAUUAGGAGUAAAAAAAGAAUAAAAGCGAUGAACUAUUCACCGCUUUUACCAUCGUAGAAAUCUAUUCUUAUUAUUAUAAGCAAAUAUGAUUGUUGGUUUCGUCUCACCCUUUUUUUGUCGGUACAUGUAUAAUUACCAAAAUAAUCUUCAUAUCACUAUUAAUAGUAGUUAUUCAAUAAUAUUUAUUGUGAAGUCAAAUUUAAGUUGUUUAAUUAAAUUUAUUGAAAUUUAAUAAAUUAUAAAUCAUAUGAGUAACGGAAGAGGAGAAGUGAAAGAGUCUAUCUAUAAAUAAAAAUUUUUUAUAAUGCAUAAUUACCAAAAUAACCUUCACAUCACUCUUAAUAGUAGCUAUUCAAUAAUAUUUAUUGUGAAUUCAAAUUUAAGUUGUUCAAUUAAAUUUAUUUGAAAUUUAAUAAAUUAUAAAUUGUAUAAGUAACGGAAGAGGGAAGUUAAAGAGCCUAUCUAUAAAUGAAAAAUUUUUAGAAUUAUUUACAUCUAAUCUUUUCAUCUUCCAAAACAUAAAUGAGAAAGAAAAAAAAUAAUUAAUCAUUCUUUUAUGAAUAACGGUUCAAAUUUAAGAUGUUCAAUUAAAUUUAUUUGAAAUUUAAUAAAUUAUAAAUUGUAUGAGUAACGGAAGAGGGAAAGUGAAAAGGCCUAUCUAUAAAUGAAAAAUUUUUAGAAUUAUUUACAACUAAUCUUUCAUCUUCCAAAUAAUAAGUGAGAAAGAAAAAAAAUAAUUAAUCAUUCUUUUAUGAAUAACGGAAAAGGAGAAGUGGAAGAGCCUAUCUUCUCAUAUAAAUAAGGAGUUUUUAGAAUUUCUUACAAUUAAUAUUUUCAUCUUUUAAGCAAUAAAGACAUGAACAUUGUAUUGUUAUUGCCUUUUCAUGUUCUAAAGAUAUGUUUUAGACAUUUUUUUUAAUCUAUUGCUUUCUACCACAAAACAAAGUAAUGGGUAAUUAAUUUUUACAAUUUUUUUUCUUAUUUUUAAUAAUUUUGUUCCUUGAAAAAAAAAAGAGAAGAAGUAUCGUUACUACGGAUCGGCAUAUUAACUGGAUUUUAAAAUUGAAGGAGAAAGGGAUUAUAGCAGGAGAAACUGUAAGUUUGAAUCAUAAGUUUUUUCUUUCUCUUUUUUUUAUUGUUUAUAAUUUAUUAUCAUGAAUUAUAAAUUAUUGUAUUAUUAUACUAAAUUAUAUGGUAUUUUGUGGAGGCUUAUAAAAUAUUUGAAAAUUUCUAUUCUUAUGGUGCAAUAUGAUGUUCGAUUGAUUUUUUGCUUUCAAUUUUUAUUGUGUGAAUUUAGUAAAUUAUUUUAUUUUUUACAUUUCUUUUUUUGCAUAUUUAUUUGACAUCUAUAUCUGAAAAUUCUCUUAUAAAAAUAAUAAUAAUGUAUACUGGUAUCUGCUUUUAAAAUCACAGUGCUCUUUGUCUUUAUACCUAUGUGGGUUGUUUAGACGGUUGGUUGUAUGAAAAUAUAAUUAAAAAUAUAUAUACAAUAAUGUAAUAUUGUUGAAUUUAUAACUAUUUAGAGAGAUGGAGUUUCAAUAAUUAUUUUUAUAAUUUGUGAAUGAAUUCACUAUAUAAAACUUUUGUUUCACAUAAAAAAUUAUUUGACCUUAUAUAUAUAUAUAUAUUGAUAUUUACUAGCUUAUUGUUGAUAUCUUUUUUAAGUUGUUUAUUAUUUUAAUUAAAUUUAAAAAUAAUAAAUUAUCAUCUUUUUUUUACCAAUAUGUAUAAUUAAAAAUAGAAAUAGAAAUAAAUGAUUGAUUUGCAAAAAACUGAAAUUGGAUCCUGUGUUAUUGUGCUAUAAACAUUUUCUUAUAGUUUUCUAAGUUAGAUUAGAAUAUUAUUAGAUCUAUUAAGAAUUUAAUAAUAUGAUAUUUCUUUAUAUAAUUUAGUUUUAUAAAAUUCAAUUUAACUUUCUUCUACGAUUUUUAAUUCUUAAUUUUUAUUUUAUUUUAUUUAAAAAAUAUUUGUAACGCAUAGUUAACUUGAUAUUAGAUUAAUCGAGGCCAUAGAAACAGGCUACUGCCUCAACCUUCACCACAGAGGGAAGGGGACAAGGAUAUAUACACGUCAACUGCAGGCAUAUUUUUUUACCUUUAAAUGUAAAAAUGUAUAGAUAUCCCUUCAACUAUAAGCAAUUAUGAAAUAGCAUCCUCAACUUUUUAUUAUUUUAUUCUUUUAGUAAAAAUGCAUGGGGAGAUCUUACCCCAUUUCUAAAUAGGCCUCUCUAAUGUUUUUAUUUUUUUUUUCUGAGAUUCUCAACUUUUAUAUUUACUUAUAUUAAAAAUUUAUAAAUUUAAUAACUUUAUAUAAUUAUUAAUUAUUAAUUAGUCAAGGGCUUCUAAUAUAAAAACACUAUUUAUUUAGUUGUGAAAAAAAUAUUAUUUAUUUAAUUAUUAUAUAAAUUUAAUAUUAUUUAAUAUAUAUACAUAAAUUUUUAAUUUAAUGUUAAAAUAAUUUAAUAUAUUUUUUAUUUAACCAGAAAAUUAAUACGUGCAGCGCACGUGCAUUAACUAGUAUAGAAAGAAGUAAGAAAAAAAAAGAAAGCGGUGAAUGGUUCACCGCUUUUAAAAACGGUGAAUGAUUCACCGCUUUUAUAGGACCAUAUUUAUAAAUAAAAAUUUAACGGGUCUAUUUUUAGAAUAAAAUUUUAGGAGAAGACUAUUGCACUAAAAAAUCCUUUAUAGAUAGAUAAAAUUAGGCCAAUUUGCAUAAAAAAUUCAUUAGUUUUGAGCUUUUGCAAAAGUAGGUAGCCUUUUGGAUUUCACAGAUUCCGAACGAAUUUUUAGAAAACUGCCCAAAAUACCCUUGUUCCCUUUUCUCUCUUAUCUUUUCUUUCUCUCCCAAGAGGGUGGCGGAGGCGGCCUGCCUUGCCUCUGUCCGGCGUACUACUCACCUUCCCCGUGCACCAUCAGCCUUUCUCGCCUCCGACCCCACCGAGGCCGCACUUUUUUUUUUUUUUUUUUCUCUCCGACCCUCCUCUAUUGCCUCUCCGACACUUUACGAUAGUAAAGAAGGUAACGCCACAUCAUAUUCCUCUUAUUUUUUUCACUCCUUUUUUUCUCUUCGACCUCCCUCAACCGCCUUCGCGACUCGAAGGCAGCGCCGCGUCCUCUUACUCUGUCUUCGCCGGCGCAGGCACUGACACCGGCGCUAGAGAAGGACUUUGAGUGAAUGCGGGUGAGAGCGGAACCAAAGAAAAAAAAUAUAGAAAAUAAAUAAAAUAAAAUGAAUAAUUAAUAAAAUAUAAAGAAAAAUAUUUUUUUCUAUAGGAAAAAUAAAGAACCAGGGAGAAAAGAAGAAGAUGAUGAAGAUGCACUGUGUCAGAGAAAUGUUGCACUGUUUCAAAAAAAUUAUAAUUUUCUGAAUGAAAGUUGCACUCUUUGGGUAACAAUUAUAUUAUUCCUCCUCAUCCUCACGAAAAUAAAGAAGAAGAAGGAGGAGGAAUGAGAGAAAUAGUAUAAUUUUCGUCCAAUGAGUGUAAAUUUUUUUCAAAUAGAGAAAUUUUUAUUCAGAAGAGUUUAAUUUUUAUCUCAAAUAGUGUAAGUUUUCUUUAAAACAGUGCAACGUUGCUCUAAAAUAAUAUAACUUCAUUAUUUUUUUCUUUUCUAUCAAAUUCUUUAUUUUUCUUAUAACUUCUUUUCACCCUCUCCGACCUUCAUUGUCUCCUACACAGCCUCAGGGCGCUCGGCGACGGUGACGAGGGCGGCGCCAC
rnacentral:lncRNA from 1 species